rnacentral:rRNA from 1 species
GGUUUGACCUGCCCAAUGAUUUUAUUAUUAAAUGGCCGCAGUAAUUUGACUGUGCAAAGGUAGCGUAAUCAUUAGUUUUUUAAUUGAAAGCUUGCAUGAAAGGUUGGACGAGGUAAAAACUGUCUUUAUUUAAAUUAAAAUAGAAUUUAACUUUUAAGUUAAAAGGCUUAAAUAAAUUUAAAAGACGAGAAGACCCUAUAGAUCUUUAUAUAUUUAUUAUUUAAUUUAAUUAGGAAUAUUUAUAUUUAAUUAAUAAAUUUAUUUUAUUGGGGUAAUAUAAAGAUUAAAUAAAUUCUUUGAAUUAUUAAACAUUGAUUUAUGAUUAAUUGAUCCAUUACUAGUGAUUAUAAGAUUAAGUUACCUUAGGGAUAACAGCGUAAUUUUUUUUGAGAGUUCAUAUCGAUAAAAAAGUUUGCGACCUCGAUGUUGGAUUAAAAAUUAUUUCAGGUGCAGAAGCUUGAAAAUUU